GUGCUCACUUCGGCAGCACAUACACUAAAAAUCGGAACAAUACAGAGAAGAUUAGCAUGCUCCUAUGCAAAGGUGACAAACAAAUCAUGAAGCAUUUCAUGUUUUU